GCCCAAGAGAUCGGGGAUAACACCUGGGAAACAGAAUGCUAUACCGGAUAACAACAGAUGAUGCCUAUCAACUGUUUAAAGAUGUUCUGCUAUCACUCUUGGAUGGACCUGCGGUGCAUUAGCUAGUUGGUAGGGGUAACGGGCCUACCAAGGCGAUGAUACAUAGCCCGAGUUGAGAGACUGAUCGGCCACAUUGGGGACUGAGACACGGGCCCAAACUCCUACGGGAGGCAGCAGUAGGGAAUCUUCCACAAUGGACGCAAGUCUGAUGGAGCAAACGCCGCGUGAGUGAAGAAGGGUUUCGGCUCGUAAAAAGCUCUGUUGUUGGUGAAGAAGGACAGGGGUAGUAACUGACCCUUUGUUUGACGGUAAUCAAUUAGAAAGUCACGGGCUAACUACGUGCCAGCAGCCGCGGUAAAU
rnacentral:rRNA from 1 species